GCGGAUCUCGAAAGCCUGUCCCAGUUCGGACUGGAGUCUGCAACCCGACUCCACGAAGUUGGAUUCGCUAGUAAUCGCGCAUCAGCCAUGGCGCGGUGAAUACGUUCCCGGGCCUUGUACACACUGCCCGUCAAGCCAUGGGAGCCGGGGGCGCCUGAAGUCCGGGACCGCGAGGACCGGCCUAGGGCGAAACUGGUAACUGGGGCUAAGUCGUAACAAGGUAUC
rnacentral:rRNA from 1 species